rnacentral:rRNA from 1 species
CGUGCGGCAGGCGGUUAGUGUAAGACAGAUGUGAAAUCCCCGGGCCGUCAACCUGGGAACUGCAUUUGUGACUGCAUGGCUAGAGUACGGUAGAGGGGGAUGGAAUUCCGCGUGUAGCAGUGAAAUGCGUAGAUAUGCGGAGGAACACCGAUGGCGAAGGCAAUCCCCUGGACCUGUACUGACGCUCAUGCACGAAAGCGUGGGGAGCAAACAGGAUUAGAUACCCUUGU